GAAGAUAUUAGUUGUUUAAGAGAUCAACUUAAAGCACAUCCUCUCUUGGGUGACCCAAAUAGAGUGUUGGUGCUCACUUGUCAUGGUUCUAUGGCUACCUCUGAGCAGAAACUCAUAUUUGAAAAGCCACCUCAGAAUGUACGUAAAAUAGUACUUGCAACAAAUAUGGCCGAGGCAAGUAUUACUAUAAAUGAUGUGGUCUUUGUGGUGGACUGUGGAAAAGCGAAGGAAACGACUUAUGAUGCUCUAAAUAAUACUCCGUGCUUAUUACCUUCAUGGAUUUCACAAGCCUCUGCACGACAAAGAAGGGGUAGGGCUGGCCGUGUCCAACCAGGCGAGUGCUACCACUUGUAUCCACG
rnacentral:misc_RNA from 1 species